GAGGCUGCGCUUGUUGAGCCUGGAUGAUAUGGAGCGGCUGGCGACCUGCAUGCUUCACCCUGAGGCUGUGGAGUGCAUGGAGCUGUCCUUCCUGGACUGAGGAAUACUGCUGCUGCCCUCUCCACCUCUCCCCUCUCUUCUCCCCUCUCUCCUCUCCUCUUUACUCUCUCCUCCCCCUCUCCUCUCCUCUCCUUACUUUGUUUAAAAGAAUAGAAGCACACCCAGUGAGCAAGGCAUUGAGCAGCCCCACAUCCCGCUUCACAAUACCGCUACAUAUUGACUGACUGUUUGCAUUGUGUACGUUUGGUAAGACAAACCACAUUUUCUACUUCUACUUUCUACGACUGGGCAAGUCAGCGGUUGUUUGAUAACAGAACAUAAAACAUCACAGAGUGGGUUGAACUGCGAUGCUGCAAAUCAAGGCCCUUUAAAAUGUGUACCUUCCCAGCUCAGGUAUUGCUGAGGUAAAGAGACACUUCCUACAGGAGAACAGGACGUUGUCAAGGAGGGGAUGUCGUCACGUGUCCUGAGGGCUUUCUUAAAAACAUUGUUUUAUUAUUUCUAAGCGUACGUUGUUACUGCCUUUUAGCUCUUGAGCAUAAUAAUCUCAAUCCCGUUUGAAAUGACACUAAGUGCAUUUGCAUGGUGCAGAUGAGGGAUGUCACUUCACUCGAGACUUGCGUACUGAUGAAGAUGUAGUUUCAGUGUUUAAUGCUCGUCCCCUCAGUGUGUGUCUGUGUGUUCUUGUCUCUUGACAGGUCUGUGAGGAUGAGAAGGUCUCCACAGUCUGGAGUCUGGUCUCUGACAGGCUCAACAUACCUGUCAAUCAACAGGGACUCCUCUACAAAAGCAAGGCGCUGGCAGAUGAGCACAGACUGUCACACGACUCCAUCGCUCCCGAUUCCAAGCUGAACUCGUUGUGACGCCCCCAACAGAGAAAGUGUCACCCGAGCAAGAACAGCACUCCGUGUCACCCCUCCUCUCAGACCUCACCCCUCACCCUCGCCUCACCCCUCCUGUCACACCUCACCCCUCGCCACACCCCUCCUCUCACACCUCACCCCUCCUCUCACCCAUCGCCUCAACCCUCCUGUCACCCCUCGCCCCUCCUCUCACCCCUCGCCUAACCCCUCCUCUCACGCCUCGCCUCACCCCGGGUCAGUGUGGCACAGCCUGCCUGCUCUUCUGAACAAACACUUCAGCCCUGCCGACGCAGUGAGAGUCUGGAGCAGCAACACAAGGAUUACGAGCGGAGGCUGCGCUUGUUGAGCCUGGAUGAUAUGGAGCGGCUUGCGACCCGCAUGCUUCACCCUGAGGCUGUGGAGUGCAUGGAGCUGUCCUUCCUGGACUGAGGAAUACUGCUGCUGCCCUCUCUUCUCCCCCUCUCCCCUCUCCUCUCCCCCUCUCCCCUCUCCUCUCCACCUCUCCCCUCUCUUCUCCCCUCUCCCCUCUCUCCUCUCAUCUGUACUCUCUCCUCCCCCUGUCCUCUUCUCUCCUUAGUUUGUUUAAAAGAAUAGAAGCACACCCAGUGAGCAAGGCAUUGAGCAGCCCCACAUCCCGCUUCACAAUACCGCUACAUAUUGACUGACUGUUCGCAUUGUGUGUGUUUGGUAAGACAAACCACAUUUUCUACUUCUACUUUCUACGAUUGGGCAAGUCAGCGGUUGUUUGAUAACAGAACAUAAAACAUCACAGAGCGGGUUGAACUGCAUUGCUGCAAAUCAAGGCCCUUUCAAAUGUGUACCUUCCCAGCUCAGGUAUUGCUGAGGUAAAGAGACACUUCCUACAGGAGGACAGGACGUUGUCAAGGAGGGGAUGUCGUCACGUGUCCUGAGGGCUUUCUUAAAAACAUUGUUUUAUUAUUUCUAAGCGUACGUUGUUACUGCCUUUUAGCUCUUGAGCAUAAUAAUCUCAAUCCCGUUUGAAAUGACACUAAGUGCAUUUGCAUGGUGCAGAUGAGGGAUGUCGCUUCACUCGAGGCUUGUGUACUGAUGAAGAUGUAGUUUCAGUGUUUAAUGGUUAUCCCCUCACUGUGUGUGUGUGUGUGUGUGUGUGUGUGUGUGUGUGUGUGUUCUUGUCUCUCGCCUGUCCAGUGAGGAUGAAGAUGUAGUUUCAGUGUUUAAUGCUCAUCCCCUCACUGUGUGUUUGUGUGUUCUUGUCUCUUGACAGGUCUGUGAGGAUGAGAAGGUCUCCACAGUCUGGAGUCUGGUCUCUGACAGGCUCAACAUACCUGUCAAUCAACAGGGACUCCUCUACAAAGGCAAGGCGCUGGCAGAUGAGCACAGACUGUCACACGACUCCAUCGCUCCCGAUUCCAAGCUGAACUCGUUGUGACGCCCCCAACAGAGAAAGUGUCACCCUCGCAAGAACAGCACUCCCUGUGUCACCCCUCCUCUCAGACCUCACCCCUCACCCUCGCCUCACCCCUCCUGUCACACCUCACCCCUCGCCACACCCCUCCUCUCACACCUCACCCCUCCUCUCACCCAUCGCCUCAACCCUCCUGUCACCCCUCGCCCCUCCUCUCACCCCUCGCCUGACCCCUCCUCUCACGCCUCGCCUCACCCCGGGUCAGUGUGGCACAGCCUGCCUGCUCUUCUGAACAAACACUUCAGCCCUGCCGACGCAGUGAGAGUCUGGAGCAGCAACACAAGGAUUACGAGCGGAGGCUGCGCUUGUUGAGCCUGGAUGAUAUGGAGCGGCUGGCGACUCGCAUGCUUCACCCUGAGACUGUGGAGUGCAUGGAGCUGUCCUUCCUAGACUGAGGAAUACUGCUGCUGCCCUCUCCACCUCUCCCCUCUCUUCUCCCCUCUCCCCUCUCUCCUCUCCUCUUUACUCUCUCCUCCCCCUCUCCUCUCCUCUCCUUACUUUGUUUAAAAGAAUAGAAGCACACCCAGUGAGCAAGGCAUUGAGCAGCCCCACAUCCCGCUUCACAAUACCGCUACAUAUUGACUGACUGUUUGCAUUGUGUGUGUUUGGUAAGACAAACCACAUUUUCUACUUUCUGCUAUUUUAAAAGGAGCCCAGUUUGGUGCAGGAGGCUUGUGGGUAACAGAGUUGUUUUUGCUGGGGACUGCAGCCCUUCCAUUACCAUUGCUCGUAGAGGGGAGAUUGUUUUACUUUCAAGCCUUUUUCUUUAAUAAAUCCGGACGUUUGGAAAUACA